rnacentral:lncRNA from 1 species
ACCCACAACUCACAUAAAUCACCCUGCUAUGCGUAUAACCGACAUGUAAUGCGGCUAAUAUUCAACUAUACACAAACCAUUUCGAGUCCAAUUUAAUACACCCAAUAUCAAGCUCAAUUACAUUAAAAACCCACAACUCACAUAAAUCACCCUGCUAUGCGUAUAACCGACAUGUAAUGCGGCUAAUAUUCAACUAUACACAAACCAUUUCGAGUCCAAUUUAAUACACCCAAUAUCAAGCUCAAUUACAUU